GACGAACGCUGGCGGCGUGCUUAACACAUGCAAGUCGAACGGAAAGGCCCUGCUUGCAGGGUACUCGAGUGGCGAACGGGUGGGUAACACGUGGGUGAUCUGCCCUGCACUUCGGGAUAAGCCUGGGAAACUGGGUCUAAUACCGGAUAUGACCUUCCAUGUAGUGUGGGGGGUGGAAAGAUUUAUCGGUGUGGGAUGAGCCCGCGGCCUAUCAGCUUGUUGGUGGGGUAAUGGCCUACCAAGGCGUCGACGGGUAGCCGGCCUGAGAGGGUGGACGGCCACAUUGGGACUGAGAUACGGCCCAGACUCCUACGGGAGGCAGCAGUGGGGAAUAUUGCACAAUGGGCGGAAGCCUUAUGCAGCGACGCCGCGUGGGGGAUGACGGCCUUCGGGUUGUAAACCUCUUUCGACAGGGACGAAGCUUCGGUGACGGCACCUGUAUAAGAAGCACCGGCUAACUACGUG
rnacentral:rRNA from 1 species